rnacentral:rRNA from 1 species
UACGGGGGGGGCGAGCGUUAAUCGGAAUUACUGGGCGUAAAGCGCACGUAGGUGGCGACGUAAGUCGGGUGUGAAAGCCCCGGGCUCAACCUGGGAAUUGCAUUCGAGACUGCAUUGCUGGAGUACGGAAGAGGAGGGCGGAAUUCUCGGUGUAGCAGUGAAAUGCGUAGAUAUCGAGAGGAACACCAGUGGCGAAGGCGAGUCUCUGGACGACUCCUGACACUGAGGCACGAAAGCUAGGGGAGCAAACAGG